UUUUUUCUUUAAUUUUUUUUUUUUCUUUCUUUUCAUUCGGCUCCCACUUCUCAAGCUCUUAAAAGUUAAAAACCCAUUUCCCAUCCAACUCCAUUUUCUUUUUUUCUCUCUAACCCAUUUUCAUUUUCACCAUGCGGAGCUCUCUCUCUCACAUCUCCACCGCCCGUAGCCCUAGCCGCCGCCACCGCAUCGUCUUAGCUGUAGCCGCCGCCGCCAUAGAUCUACACUAUCUCACCUCAGCCACCACCCACUGCCACCGAUCUGAUCUUCUUCAUUAGAUCAUCUCUCAAACCCACACUCACUAGAUGAUCUCUGAUGUGUCUGAGAUGGGCGCUUAUGAUGCUGGGUUUGAUGAUGCUGGUGGUGAUUUCUAAAUUCUUAGGUGGUUCUUGGUUGGGAAGAGCAUAAAGUUGUACAGUGAUUUCUAUUCCUCAGACGUGAUUAUUGCUUCUCCAGUUCGUUUGAUUGCUGAUGGUACUAGCGGAGAUGAAGAGGACAACUCAAACAAUAACAUGGAGGUUGAAAGCAACUUGGAGGGUGACCGAGAGAAAAACUAAUAUAGAUCUUUUCAUAAUUCUAGUUGUUUAAAACAAUAUUUUUAUGUCACGGUUUAAUUUCAGGAUUUCUUUGUAUAUUCUAUAUUUUAAAGCUUGAACUCAUAAGAAUUUUUAUGUUUCAAUGGAUCAA